rnacentral:lncRNA from 1 species
GGAAGUUAGUGGGAUAUGUCUGCAAUUGGUUUUAAUCUUCACAAAGAAAUCUUUUCUUGUUAAAUAUCACUGUUAUGUAGCAAACAGAAAGGUAGUCUCCAAAACUAGUUAGUUGGAUAACUAAUUAAUUAGUGAACAGAAAGAAGGGUGAGUGGGUUGCUGCCUUGUCACUCUGCAAACCUCCAUUAGCAAGGGAAGGCAUUACCCUGUAUCAUUCCUUCAGUAAUAGACUAAUAAUUACUAUUUCAUAUGAUUUUCCUUAAAAGAGGUGUAAGUGUCUUUGUGAGUGGAUGGAUGAUACAGUGUUGUCUUAGAAUUUUGUUUUUUCUUUUUUUUUUUUUUUUAGCUUACAGGAAUGUUUUUAAAAUCUCAAACCAAAAUAGGCUACUGACUUCCAAUUCUUUUGAAGACACAUAAACAUAUUAGUUUAAUUAAGUUAAGACAAAAGCAUUGCCUAAAACAAUGUUGGUAAGUCAGUAGCUCUAUUGCAGCAGCAAGAUGGCCCCUGUGCAUCCACCGUGCUCAGGGAUUUUUAUGGAACCUGUUACUUGUGGUUCUCUUCAGAACUAUUCCAAACGGUAGCAUUCCCUCUAUUUGAACCAGUUUUCCUUCACUUCUGUUUUCACUGAUGCCUAGCAGUAAAUACUAUUGUGUUUGAACUUCAAAUAUGUUCUUUAAAUUUCUCAUAUAAUGUGGAGCUCAAAGGUCAUGCUUUACCUGUGGUCGGGAUGUGAAUGGGUGUGGUGGAGCACACUUGUUAUUUGAAGGAUGCAUGCCUGUAACCCCAGCACUUGUUAUGUGAAGGAAGACAAUCAUAAAGUCAAGACCUGCCUGAACUACAUAGUGAGUUCUGGAUAAUCCAGGCUCCAUAGCAGGACCCUGUCUCGUCUCUAAAGUAUAAAAGGGAAAGAAAACGGGGCUGGGCGUGGCAGUGCACAUCUUUAAUCCAGCACCUGGGAGGCAAAGGUAGGCAGAACUCUGCAUUCAAGGCCAGCUUGGUCUACAGGGCAAGUUCCAAGACAGCCAGGGUUACACAGAGAAAAAAACAAAAACAAAGGAGAGGAAGGGAGGGAGGGAGAGAAGGACGGAGGGAGGGGAAAAGGAGAGAGAGGAGAGGG